GGUAGCUUGCUUACUCUCAGCCACUAGUUAGAAGGAAAUCCCUUGACUUCGCUUAUGCCCUUAUGGCCCUUAUGCAGUACAGAAAGCAAGUGAGGCGGGCUAAGAUUCCAUUCGAAGUAAGGUGACAGGAUUCGAUGUUGCACCAUCUUCAACUCUUCUCUGGAUCCGGAGUUUUUCGAGAAAAGGUCCCAUCCUUCAAUAUCAUGAUUGGGUCGACCGGGCCAGAUCAUGAGUGAAAUAUCAUGAUCGGGUCGACCAGGCCAGAUCAUGAGUGAAUAGAAAAUCGAAAACGUACAUAGCAGUUCCAGCCGAAAUACUUGGAAUAAUUCUACCACUUCUACUAGGAGUAGCCUUUUUAGUGCUAGCUGAACGUAAAGUAAUGGCUUUUGUGCAACGUCGAAAGGGUCCUGAUGUAGUGGGAUCGUUCGGAUUGUUACAACCUCUAGCAGAUGGUUUGAAAUUGAUUCUAAAAGAACCUAUUUCACCAAGUAGUGCUAAUUUCUCCCUUUUUAGAAUGGCUCCAGUGACUACAUUUAUGUUAAGUCUGGUUGCUCGGGCCGUUGUACCUUUUGAUUAUGGUAUGGUAUUGUCAGAUUCGAACAUAGGGCUACUUUAUUUGUUUGCCAUAUCUUCGCUAGGUGUUUAUGGAAUUAUUAUAGCAGGUUGGUCUAGUAAUUAGGGGGCGGCCGUUCGGUCGCCUAUGAUACUAGGACCAAUAGGUCAAAAAUGGGUUUGUGCCGCAGGUGUUGAACGAUCUACUCUACACAGGUGUGGGCUUACAGGGCUAGGGCUCAUAAACCCUUUCUUUCAUUCAUCAAUAGGGCCCCGGUCGGUCACUUUUACGGGCCGGGAUCGAUAAGUGGAAGUCAUAAAAAAGAGAUGCUUCUCUUCGCACCUCAGAUCAAGAGGAAGGGUAGCUUGUCAAGCUGGCCUAUAUAUAUCUUUAUAUUAAAUAAUAUAAAUAAUAUAAAAAAAAAGAUUCGCUGUCUUUUAACCGGCUGUUCUUCUUUGUCAACGCCUACUAAGGACCUAUAGUAUAGGUUCGCCUACUUGACUUAUGAAAGAUAAUGAGAAUGGGUUAUUCAAAAAGGAAAAGGCGCUACUUAGCCCUACAUUUUUUGAAAUAAGCGGCUGAGUUAGCCUACCCUACUAAUGUAUUGUAUAGUAGGGUAUACUAGGCGAGCGAGUUAGCGAAGACGCUUAGGCUAAUAGAUAAGAGAGCGUCGGUGCGUAGCCUUCAUUCUACUACGCUACGAAAAGGUUACGAAGUCACUUAGCUCGACGUUAGGAGAGUCAAGGGGGGAACGCCUACAUAGAAGAACCGCAGUUCGCUGACUUUCUAAGGUCUAACCUUUCGCCCCCCUACUGAAAAGGGGCAAAGCCGCUUCGCACCACUGAUAGACUACUUAAGAUUCAAUUCAAAAGGCCCUGCUUAGUUUCGCAAGCCUUUGUCAUUGUCAGUCAACUAAGUGGGGCCUGAGGCCCCCUGCGAAUCCGUAAAUCUGAGGAGCAUGCCGCAACAAAAGAAUGGUCCCCUAUGUAUUUCAUUCUUUCCGGAAGGGAAAAAAAGAAGUACCCCCAUCAUGGUGAACCUCUCCUUGUGAUCGGGAUGAGGUAGAUGCCUCCCAGCCGGGGGGGCGGAUCGAAUCGGAGUUUCCUUAGGCAGCCACCGACCUACAGUUAUCCUUAAACUUCCGUGCUUGGUGGAGAAGAAGCGAACAAAGGUACGCUCGCUUGCUGUCUUGUUCUCUGCCGCGAACUGGGAUCGCUCGCCAGCUAGGUCAGAUUGGAGCAACUUUUUUUUUGAGAACAUAUUACCCAUAUUCGGGGACAAGGGGCGGAACGACCUCUCGAUCUACUUACUGCAGCCCAGGAAUAAAAACGUCGUCUAGGCGUUCCCUGUUGCUCCGAUCUCCCCUACGCCUAGGACGUUGUCUGGGCCAAGAGCCAUAGUUAGUUGCUGUUUCCAUUUGGUCGUUUUUCUUGUUGUUGAUACCGGCAAGACCCAGCCAGACGAUGUCUGCUGGUUGGUAGUGAGAAGACUCUUAGUACCUGCAUACCCAAAAGGGGCGCUGAUUAAAAAACAAUCAUUUGAUUUAGUUUCUUGCUCCCCCUUAGCAGCGGGAAAGGAGUCUAUCUAUCUGCCUAGCUUUGGUAGAUUUCCUCCAACGCAAUCCACAGAAAUUCCACGAAUCCCUUGGUGGAUAAGUCCGACGACUCAGCAGCAGUGCGGAAUUGAGUUUCUCGUCUGGUGGAUCUGAUCUAUAGUUAGGGGGCAAUACAUACCAAAAGGUUCGAAGAAGGAACGCGCAUAAGAGUAUAUAACCAACCCACCCCUCUCUAUAACCUAUUCACAUUAGUGAAGCGGCUGGAUGCAUAAGGGAAGUCAACCUACGAGCACGGAAGAGCGUAGUAUUGCUGCCCCUCUCUAAGUAAAGGUAAAGUCUCUCCUUCAGCUAGAAUGUAAGGAAAUUGAAAGAAGCGCGGAAAGGGUCAAACGCGGUUGCUGGCAUCGAAGAGAGCCGUCAUCGACGAUAAAGCGGGAGUUCGGACUUGGCGAACGAGCUCUUGCCGCGGGAGAGGAAAGCGGGGCCGGCAAAAUAACCAUUCCGGUGGUUGAUAGUGGAGCAAAGGCUGGAUAAAACAUGGAUAGGCAUGUCUUAUCAUCCAAAAAGAUGUAGAAACAGGAAGGGCGGGUCGAUCCCACAUCUCAUAGAGAGGAGGAAUACCAGGGAUGAUAAAGGAUAACUAACUCUACAGCUCACAGGAAUGGGAAAAGGAAUUCCACAUUACUCCAGUUUUAUCAUAGCUUUAUUUAAGACAGAAUAGGGAGUAAGGCUGAAAUGGCUAUAGGCUUCAAUUUUUUAUUUUAAACGUAUGUUGAUUGAACUAGAUGCUGGGUGAGGGCUUAAAGACCCUAUUCACAUAGCGUUUCUGGACACAUAUUUUUCCUCGGGGCGGGCAGAUUUUCCUAUAAAUAAAUAGGGGAUCCGGGCCUUUUUGGGGGGAAAAGGGGCUUUUCAUCGGGUCAUCCUUUUUCGUCGAAUGUCCCGGGCCCGAUUUAGAGAAAGAACUUUUCCUUUGCUGCAGGGCCGGGGAGAAACAUUCAAGCGCAGAGAUGGAGAUGGCUCCGCUGCGAUAGAGGAUGAAGGAGAAUCCGUAGGCAACUGGUCGUAAAAAGUCAUACAUUCAUCAAGCGAAGGCGCAGAUGGAAGACCGUGUAGCUAGAGGACGCCGGUUACCGAAAAUAUCCUUCUUGCUGUUAGGAAGUAGCUUAAUUUCCUUAACUAACUGGGAGUGGAAUAAGGAAUAGCAGCUUAGCUUCUUUUAUUGUAUGUACGACUAUCGAAUAAGAGCUUCCUUCUUGGCUGUUUGAUGUAGCUAACUGAAUCUGUAUGCUAGGCCAAGAGCGGAGGAUAUAAUAUAUCUUUCUUUCCUUUAGUACUGCCCUUUAACUUCCUUAAGUAACUUUCAGUUCUCUAAGGGUAGUGAAGCGAUGUGACUCAACCGAUAGGUUGAGGGACUCGCGUAACGUCUAAUAGUUGCCUCUCUUUCAGAGCCUUCCUCUUACUGGAAGUUUAUAGAAGAGAAGGAAAGAAAAGAAUGUAUGAGGUUGCCGUUCUUCUUUUGAAGGUUAUAGCAGACGAAGACGAUCAGAUGCAGACGAUCUUUCUUUCGUCUUCUCGUCUUUGUCUUAAUCUCCCAUCUAGCACUAGAACUGGGCGCAUCUGACGAGCAAGGAGGAAACAUCAGCAGCUGACCUAGUUCUGUGACACUAGGCAAGCAAGUAAAUUCAACCUGCGAACGGUCUUCUUUAUAUUUAUAAGAGAAGGGAUGCUUCAGCCAUCAAACAUAGUAUGCCUGACCUGGUUGAAGAUUGGGUGAAGGUUCCGUGCCAAAGGAAUGAAUCUUCGGAAAGAAGGCAUAAAGGAGUGGAUGUGUAGAGGUCUUUCUUUUCUUUGCCCGUUAGAAGCCCCUUUAAGGCCUGUUACUCUGAUUGAGACUGUAAUGUAAAAGGUGGGAAACUACAGAUUUUGAUACUGGAGAGUGGCCAGCAAAUAGAAUAAAUGAGAGCUGCUCCUAGGGUGCUUCUACUUCUUCUAGAUUAGUGACUUAUUUUGACCUUUUCGACAAGUUCGGGGACCAGUAGCAGCUUCGCUUUGCAACUUCUUAUAUGCAGAAAAGAGGUUGUCCAAGAAUAGGUUGUUCUAUUAUCGGUUGUUCGAUCCUUUGUACUCUCUCCUAUAUAGUCAGUCAGUGGGGAAUCGUGGACAAUGCCAACAAAUAAAGGGCUAAGGGCGAAAGCCCGAUCCAGCAAUAUCGCGUGAAUAAGAGGCAAUUUAAUUGAGAGUUGCUCUUCCCCUCCUCAGUACUGGCAAUUGAUUCUUUGUACGAACUGGUCAUCCUUUAAUUUGCCUUAUCCUCGGAGGGAACAAAUGUUUGGUCUUAAGCAUCCAAGUCAGUGUCAUAAAAGAGUGGACAUAUAAGCAAGUAAACCCGGCCUAGGACUAAACUACCGAUACAGAAUAGGGGGCUUCAAGCAGCCGUACUUAUAUAUAGAUAUAAUAUAUGGAGAGAUCACCCUUAUUGUGAUCAGUUCCCGAAGUGAGUCAAUGAGCAGGAAUUCCUUUUAGUGGAUCCCUUCCCAAAGUCAGUACAAUGCCCCUCUUAUCCCUCUCCUGUCUGUGAAGAAUCAAAACCUUCCCUGGAGACUGGUCCCAUCUAAGGCAUCUUACUUAUAGUAAGUAGAAGGGGACAUCUUUUUGCACAAUAGAUUAUAUUACCAAAUCCGUUGGUUUACCCUACUUGGGAUAAAAACCUGCGCACUAUCUGCUAUAUAGGCAUUCAUUGGUGGAUCUCCUCUGUAUUCCCUACCCUCAGGGGAAGUCAGGACAAGGCCUUUUUUUUCCUUCUAUCGUUAUCGUGCUGGACUUCGAACAAUUCAAUUCGUUCGAGAGGCUUCCGUGCCUAUCUAUCAAUUAUUAAGUGCUUUCCUAGCCCCCCGGUUAUCCCGAUCGGGUUGAUAAAAGGUUUCUUCUUAAUUCAAGUCAGGAAAGAAGAGCGACAAGCGUACUGCCGGAAAAUGAUUCAGAUAUGGGCUAUAGGCACUUGAAGGGGAGGACAGAGAUGACGGUGGUAGUUAUGAAGCCUACACACUAGUGAGCAUUAAAGGGACAAGAAAGCAGACGAGUAGGUUUGGUAUCGGCUUUAAAGGAUAGGGGGAAAGGCUUUAACGCUUACGUAAAGGAGGGCCCCCAUUCAAUGAUCAGAUAUGUCCAUGGGAUUAGGUAUGAAAUGGGCCAUACCAACUUGUUGCUUGAACAAGUCCUAGUGGUAGGGCUCCUCAUAUGGUUAGCCUCCCUGACCCGUAGCGUAGAUUGUGGAAUGGGAUUGGGAAUCUAUUAUAGUAUUAACCGAAUUUCGGAGGGGGUUCCAAUUCAUAUCCGAGCGUUGGUGCACUUCCCAUCUGUUCCCGGGCUUUGACGUAAGGCCUGUAGACCGAGCCUCAUAUCCCUGACUUCAUAGUCCUACGGUCUUCUUUCUUCUCCCUAAUUCUCUGUGAGAACGAAUCUUAACCCUUGGUCUUUUUCUUCCUCCUGACUCUCACUUGGAAGCAAGAGAUGAAGACGUAAGCCUUCCUUAUGAUCGAUCACCCUUUCCCGCUGGUCCAGUCAGUUUUUCUUUCUUCACUUCCUUCCGCUUAGCCGAUAGUGGGCACUCUAAUAAUUUUUUAAGUAGGCAUCUAUGAAAUCACUAGGGCUGCCUCUUUUCAGCUCUUUCUUAGGCUCUCUCGAGUGGGUUUGCACUCUGUUAUGCUCUUAGUUUAUCUUCUCUUGGCUUCUUUCUAUGGAUUAAUCCUUGUUCUACGCUCAUGCUCUUUCCAUGAGGAAGACUUGCCCUUGAUGAUGGAACAACGGCUACCUCGGUCUCCUAUAGCUAAACCAUCCUAAAGAGCCAGCCAAAGGACCCGCAUGCUCGGAUCUUGUAUCAGGAUUAGCUUCUAUAGGAAUAUAUAUCUAAUAGGGAGAAGCUCUUGCGGAAAUAUUGCCAGAAAGGCGGGUGGUGGGAAGGAUAGACUAUAUAUAGUAGAUCCGACUUCCUCGACUGAAAGGUGAGCUACGGGGUCCAGGUUAGUUGAUCUAUUAAGAAGGUGAAAGAGCUUCCCUGGGCUUACAGCUCGUGAAGUGAGUCCGCUUUUUAUAACCCUUAAUGCCUUCUAACGCAUUCUACUAAUCUUCGACCACCCUACAGUUAACAACAAGGAGAAAGGCAAAGGCUUUGAUUCCUGAACCUCCCAUUGUGCCAUCCUGCUCUCCAAACUACAAAGAGAAGACAGCUCCCAUGCUUUCAUAGACAUCAAGAACAGCAGAUAAUAUCCGCCUUAAUCUUUAUAUAGGUUGCCCCUCUUCUUCUCUCCUAGCUAUCAGAAUAGGAAUCGCUAUUCGUGGAAGAAAACCGGACUCUCUCUUAUGGAUUUGUAUGGCUUUGCCUGCCGCCUUUCACCCGCUUCUCUAAGGAAAAAGUCUAAUGUCAUGUUGAUGCCAUCAGAAUCUAAAGGAUUGAUCGAAAUAAGGGCCCGUAGGCAAAAAAGUCUUCCCUCGGCUCGGUAGCUAGUUUGGUGAUGGCAAUGAGCAUCCUUCCCGCCGACCACUUAUAAAGACUGUCUCUAGAGAAGCUCCAAAGCAGGAUAAGAGAGCCAGUAACAAGCAGAACAAAGACGCGCCGCCACGCGGGCGGGCAGAGCUAAGGGAAGAGAACAGCUACUACAGCUGAGAAUCGCCCUAACCUUAGCGAAAGCACUUGAUUUCGCCCUUCCUUGAUCAAAGACUUUCAAGCUCUCUUCUAUAGGAAGGAAUAACUAUCGAUGUAGGAUCUCUUUCAAGUAAAGUACAAUAUCGACUUUCAUUCCACUUUAUCAAACUAGAGUAAGGUAGCGAAGUAAAAUAUGCAUUAGAGAGUCGAAUAUGCAAGAAAGCCAAUAGGCGCUCGUGAUCUUCCUUGAUUUCAGGAAUGAGUAGAUACUAUACCUGUAACAACUCUCUUCAAAUAGGCUUUCUUUGAAGGCGUAGGUGUCUUUUCAUUUUAAAGUAGUCGGUGCUUUUCCAUUUGAUUUGCAAUCCCCUUUUUCUAGUUAUGCAGUUGAUGAUCGGAUAUGAAAGAACUAAUCUACCUUCUAUAAAUAGAAAGUUGCUGCUUUCCUCUUAUGAGGAUUCACAGCUUGAGUAAGUAGGUAACCUAAGUCCAGUCUGAUCUGAGGGAAGCAGUCCCAAGUCAGUAGCGAGUACACCACUCUGAGAGCCCAGAAACAAAGAUCCCAUCCCGUACCCGUAAAGCAUAAGAAAAAAGUCUUUUCCUUUUUCAGAGAAUGUGUAAGCACCCUAGAGUAGAGGGGGAGGCCCAUUUCCUAGCCUAGUUUUAAGCAGAGCAGCACCAUCCUAGUCCAGAGCAGUACCUCUCUCUAUGGGCUCGAGGCAAGACAAGCAGCCCGCUUCGCUUCCUUCGUCUCAUUACAGGGAAGGAUAGGACCUCGGUCGGUUCCAAGGGUGAGGAAGAAGUGCCAUCUGCUUAAUCGGAAGAAUCCGCUGAGACAAAAGCAUUAGCAGAGGCUGAAUCAGCUGCAUCAGCAAGCGAAUGCCUUUCUUAGAAUGGUUCGGAAACCCAGUGAGAAUCACCUUCUCACCCCGAAUCCUAAGAUCCAGGGAGGUUGGCUAGAAAGAGAAUUUCCAAAUCUAAAGAAGAGGCUGAAGCAUCAGAAUCCGCUGAAACAAAGGCUGAGAAAGCCAAUAGCGGUUAAGCCACAUCACGCUUUUCAGGGACCGAUCAAAAGCCGUUUGUUUUUCGUUAAGAGACUUUUUUCUCUGAUUCAAACUUAAAUAUUGGAGCUAGGGCUUAAUUCUAUGGGUAAGGUCAAGUUGAUAAGCCGCCUACCUUCUUAAUUAAGUUACAUUACAGAGGGGCCUCCCUAACUCAAGUUGCUUGUGCCUGCUGUUACCUACCGUAGGACCUCCGUCCCCGAAGCGAAUAAAGAGGAGACCUUUUUCCUGUGUCGAAGGUUGGGUGUUAAUUAAAAUCACACUUUUUAAUAAUUUUAUUUUUCGGAUGGACAUAAAAGAAAAGGGUAAGAUUUCCAAAAGCUAUUUACGUAGGAGAAUAAGUCAUCGCUCGCGGCUUCCCGCUUUCAAUUAGAGGGGCAGGGCAUCUUUCUGUUGCCGGUUAGGUUAACCUCAAAAGUUCAAUAGGGUAAGCUGCUAGCUCUAACCGAACUUUCGGGUAUAUAUAAGUCCGACGAAAGACAACCCGCUUCUCAAAGGCGAGGUUCUGAAAGAAAGCAAGCGGUGCACUUAAAUCUAAAUAGGGUGGUAUGGGUGAGAAAGAUAAAGAGAAGAUCUAGACAAAAGACCUACUCGAUGGAAUUAGCCAAUGUGUGCUCCUAAAGUUAGAAAACGUCCCGGCAAGAGCUGUCAGAAUUCAUCCCAGAAGGUAAAUUACCCUUUCUCUUGUGCCUGCAUUCGCUAUUCCUAUUCCGCGAAAGCUUUUAUGCCUAGCCCCAAAAAGGUGCUUCAGCUACGCUUUGGAGUUGAGCUACCCAAGCAGACCAGCCCUUCCCGAGAAGAGCCAAAAGCGAAGGAGUUUCAGUAAGUAAGAAUAAGAUUAAUGAUUUGUGAAACAUACUAUUGGCAACAUUAAUCCGCCUAGCAAGAAAGAAGACUCUAGUUUCAUCUCUGAAUUACUUGAUCAAGACGGUGCAAUCGAUUGAAGACUGAAGACCGGGCACUUAAUGUCUAGAUUGAGAUCGAGAUUAAGCUCCAAGUCAUGUAGGUUCACGAGAAGGACGUUUGUUUUCUACCAUAAACAGAGGAGUUCGUUUGCAUUUACUAGGAGAAAUCUUUCUCUCAAUCGCUGGCAGUUGGACAAGGAAAGGCAAGAGCGAGCAGCCACACAUGAACCGCGAUGAACGAUGUCAUGAUAGGCUUUCCAUAACCAUCUUUCCGGUAAUAAAAUCCUUCUUUCAGUCUCACGGGCCUCGAUCAAGUACGCGUGCCACACCAUUGACACUUGAUUAUAGCGAAACCUUGUGAAUGGGUUUUCGUGCUAUACACCACGUUGAGAAAGACCAACUUCCCUCUAGUCUGAUGGAUCGCUUUCUCUUGCGCAUUAAUGAAUGGAUCGAGGAAUUGCGUAUGAAAGGUUUAUGGUCUAUCUUAUACUAUCUAGUACGAUCGAUCAAGUCAUUCAGUACAGUAUCUUCGUCGGUGUAGGUCUCGGUCGUUGUAGUUGAUAUUGAUUCUGAUUAAUUCGUUGUUAUGAUGUUCCAGUUUCCUUUCCUCUUUUGUUUGUACAUCUUUCUCCCAUGCAUUUCGUUGGUCAACAACCAACCACAACUCACUAUAAUUCUUCACUAAUCCUACAGGCUUGACGGAGUUAAGCUGUCUGGAGGGAAUUUUUUUGUAUCAAUCUAUAUCUAUAUGUUUAGACUCAUGCCAAAAGACACUCUAAUCUAUUUAUUCCUAGGAUUCAUCUCGCUCAUUUUUUCUAUCUUUUUGUUUUUUAGUGGGAUCGCCAUACCAGGCGCUACCGUGUCUUUGAAAUUUGAUUAUAUUGGUUAUAUCCUGUUAAGCCUCGGGGGGGCGAGCGCCAUUUAUUUCACAUUAAUCGCAAAAGAUGCUUUUGAAAAAGGAAUAACAUUUUUUUCCUUUUUGCUAAGCGGCCUUUUCUCGAGUCGACAUUUUCAAUACACAGGAGGCGCACUCAUAGUAAAUGGGGAACCCUUUAUACACGUACAUGGUAUAGCCCCCUCUUUUUUUUAUUUUAUAUGUAUUUCAUUAAUUUUUUUWUAAAUAGAAAUUGUUUUUAUUUUUUUACUUUUUUGGGGGUCCUUUGUAUUCAACCCAUGGGGAUCCGCGCUAUUUAUACUUUUAGUGUUCCUAUAUCUAUUAAAAGUCUUAAAAAGAAAAGAAAUUCUUUUAUAUUUGUAUUUACCAUUUCUCGUAGUAGUUUAUAUAUUUGAUAUUUCCAGCGUAAACAAAGCCGUUUUUUUAAUGGGACCUCUCGCGGAAGCUUGUGCAAUCUUUUUUUUUUUUUAUGCUAAAACAGGUGAAGACUAUUUUGUCAGUUUUAGCAUCUUUGUUAUAAAUCAUUUUUAUUAUUUAUUCUUAUUAGACAUCCAAGGUUCUUAUAUUUACUUUUCUUUUCUAAUAUAUUUUUUUAUAUGUAUUUCAGGAUAUAUCAGUUUUAUAACAACAAUGGGUCAUCACCUCCCACUUUCUAAAUGGUCUAACGAAUUUCACAUCUUAAUUAAUACGGGCAAAAAUAGCUUUUUAAAUAUUUUUUCUGGCGGGAUUGCGUUACUUUCUUACAUCAAUUUUAUGGGCUCCGCGGUAGAGUCGAGCCAUAAUGGCUUGCUCAUUUCGGGCGCUUACACUCUUAUUUUCCAUGCGGGAGUCAUCCUACUUUUAGAAUUUAUUUUUUCUUUAGUAAAAAAAAACUUUUAUGUUUUGAAAACAGAGCAAACCACCUUGCUAUCUAAACUAGUCAUUUAUAGCAGUACCCUCUCCUUUAUUUUUCUAUACCUGGACGGCCCUUUUUCCAUUUUACUACUAAAUCUCUCUUUAUUCUGGCACAUAUAUAAAGGGAUCGAAGAGAUUAUGGCAGAUCAUGUUCACCAAGAAAUGACCCGAAAUUUGAUCUUGGUCUAUUUGAGAUUGUUCCUUUUAAUCGUAAUCAAAGAUGUUUUCUUGUCUCUCGUUUCUUCUCCGAACAAAUCGAAGAACCUAAUGGGAAGAAGCUAACGGAAUAAAAUUCUUACUAGGGGUAUGAAAAGAGUAGCUCCUCGUACGCGAAGCAAGUAGCUUUACUUCGUAACCUUACCCCUUUAAUUUAAGCAAGUAAACUACCUUCCUUUAGCUUCUUAGUUGCUUUCCUUCAGAACCUAGCGUAGUCAAUUAAAGGAUCCGCUCCGCCCUACCAACUUCCAGAUGAAAGGUCCUUUCCGCGCUAUCACGAAGUGCGGUCGGUGAUCUUUCCCCUGCAAUCUCUUAGUAGUAAGUCUCUCGAGUUGGAAAGUCCCGCGUAGCCCCCAGCCGGGGAAAAGAGCACAUCUCGACUUGCUGACUUAGCCCUAUUCACAAAGUCGAGUUACGCAGCUCCAUCAAAAGAUUGAAACAGAACUGCGCCGGCCAAAGGUGAAGGAGAUUGAGUGGUUCUUCCUUUCAUUUAUAUUUAUAAAUAAGAUAGUCUACCAAGGUAAUGUAAUUAAAGAUUCCGCUUUCUUCAAGAUAACAUUGCGCUAACUACCCGGAAGUCAGAAUAACAUCUUCGGCCGGAAUAGAUUAAGUUUUGGUAGUAAACUACCUCUCUUUUUCUCAGUUACGGGGUAGCGAGGUUCGGAAGCAGGGGUGCACCCUUCUACUUUCUGUUCCGGUUGAUAGGAGUUUCUACAUAAGAGCCAAUUGGUAUUCCUUGCUUCUUUCAGAACCUUGGGCCUAGCCUCUUUCCAUUGUUCGAAUUACUCCAUUUUACCAAAAGAUUGGGCAGCAGGGACAGGGACCUUCCGAUCCGACCCCAUUUCCGGAUGAGCAAGAAGAGGAAUUCUCUAGAAGGAGGUAAGUUUGUGAAGCCUUUUAUUAGGUGUAUUAUCGAACCCCUAUUACUAUUUAGCCAGUCUGUCUUCGCAAUAGAGUGAGUGAAGUGAUCCAAAGAAGUAGGAGUCGGGGAGGUAGUUUUCGAGAGAAAAUGAGCAGCCCUUCGGGAGGAAGCAUCUGUUGGAUCACACAAGGGAAGACUCAGGGGCGGGGCCCUGGAUUGAGCCGCUCUUACAUACCCGGGUGGAGAAACCUGCUUAUGUUCCGGUAGUUUAAGGGAGGUCAACAAGUAUUAGUGUUAGUUAUAGUGCUGCAUUGAGGCUACUUUAUUGUGCUUAGGGUUAAGGUUAAGAAAGGUAGUAUACUAUAUAUGAUUAUUCGGAUCGGGCGAGAAGCCCUCUCCCUUUCAGUCGGGGAUGGAAAAGGCACUGCUUCGUUUCGUUCAUCAAUCUUUUCUCUUUGGAAGAAUCGGGAUGAGGCACAGCCUGUUUCAAAGAAGGUGCAUGUAUGUUCGCGAGGCUUGGCUUCUUUUCUUAAAGCGCCUCAAGAAAGGUCUUUAGUCUCAUGUUUCGAAGGUGUACCCGCAUAAAGAUUUGUAAGAAAGCGGACGUCGUUGACAGCUAAGUAGUUUCCGGUCUCCUCUACUUCGCUUCUGCUGCCCUCUUUAAAAGACUUUUUUUCUAUCUCCUCUCUACGGAACCCCGAAAGUUCUGGUUAGAGAAAUAGCUUUUCCAAUCCCUCGUGAAGAUACCACCAGUAAUGAAGUUGUUCUCCUCCCCUAAAUCUGUUAAUUUCAGGGGGCUAGAAAUAGAGAGUAUAGAGGAAAGUUCCAGUUUCUGACAGCACAGUUGAUGGAGCCGGCUGACGGAGCUACAAGUUCAGGUUUAUUAUGGAACACCAAAGCCUCUUUGAAUCCAGUCUAAUGGAAGUCAAGUGGAGCCUAAACUAGCGUCCUCACCUUAUGCUCCCAAAAGAACUCCCUGGCACUUUAUCCCUUAAAAGGAUCAAACAAAAAGCAGUCCCGUAAAAAGAAGACUAGAAAGAAGUCAUAAAAAAGACUACAGCUCAUAGUCAAGCCCCAGCUACUGAGGAAGUGACUGAGAUAUCCGGAGUCGGUGGGAUGACUAGGAGCGGAAGAUGCUAGACACCGGAAGGACUUUGAAAAGGACCGAAAUGAGGAGCUAUAGAGGGGCCAGAAAGGAAAAGGUGCGAAGCAGAGUAACUAGCUAGUUGAUUUAAAAGACAUUCCUCUAGCCAGUCAGGAAAGCAAUAGAGGUAAGAUCAAAGCGGAUGUAUGAGGAGCGGUAGCGAAUGGAUUCCCGGGUUUAAGAUUGGAGGUCAUUUUUUGAUUUCAAUCACCACCGGGCAGCAAGCUCCACGCUUCUCAGUAAACUUCUAGCCGUACCCUGUCCGCCAACCUGCACUGUUCGGGGUCUGUCAAUCCAAUUCUAUCCGGAAGAAAGACGGAAGAGAAAGUGCAUUAUCAUACGAUAUUUAGUCAAUCAAGCUGAAGUUUUGUAGCACGGUUGGUAGCCAGUCUGUCAAUCAAGGAAGCAAGCCAGUAGCAAUCCUCUCUCCUGUCUGUGAAAGGCACGGAGCGGCCUAAGUCAAAGAAGAAGAAGUAGAUGCGCAUGAAUCAAUAAGAAAGAGCCCUCACGAUACGGAAAUCUUUCCUCAAGGAAAAGGUAGCUUAAGCGAUAUGGGACUGCACCCCAAGCAAGAAAGAAAAAGAAUUUUUUGAGGCAGGUGGGAAUUUCAACAACUCAAAGAAAAGGACCGCGCUCCACCACACCACUUCCAACACUCGAAAGAGAUAAGGAAUCUAAAAUGAAGACAACUUCAGGAGGGGUUUAGACUGAGUCUUGAAAGAAGGAAUUCCGCCCUAAGCUAGGCUAUUACACAUCAAGGCAAAGACUAUUACAAGACUGAAAAGAAUGGGAGCAAAACCGCGAAGGAAAGAACUCACGAAACAAGAAGAUAGAUCGUGGAAGUCACACGCAAAGGCCAGGAAUUCACCUUCAGCUGGCUCUUGUUCUAUAUCUAUGGUCGAGAACCGAUCGAAAUAUGUGUCGUCGAAGAUCUCGGUGGGGGCGAAAAUCAUUUAACCGGGUUAUUUUACUUUAUAGCAUUAGUAUAAUCUGAAUCUUAAGCACGAUCAGAAAAGAAAGGCUUAAAUGCAUGCUCGAUCGAAUAGAGGACGAGAACCGGGCCAUUACUGGUUAAGUUACACGACCAGCCGGCCUUCUGCUUUUCCGGGAUUUCCUUGCGCCCCGGGUAGAUAAUAAUGACCGACCGGCGGCAUCAAAAUCGAGGUGUAUGUGGGAAUCGGAAUUCAAACCCCAACCCUUUUCGGAAAGGGGAAAGCGGACUACUGGGAAAACAUAAAGGAAACCCUAACCUACGUCAAAAGAAGGACAUUAUAUUAUGAAUUCACCGUUUCCGGAAGGCUGGCUCACUUUCUCUGACUUCGGUCGAUUCUUCCUUAACUAGGUCCUCCUUCUUUGCUUAGUCGGGUGACUUUUCCAAGACUAUAAGUCCUACUCAUGCUUGUGAAAAAGAAAGAGGAAAAGAGCUAAUUCAAGGUAGUGUCUUCCACCUAUGAGCCGAUCAGACCUUUCGUGCACUCGCAUUCAUCCAGACCGAAGACAUAGCCCAGCCCAUCUAAUCUCACGAAAUCUAAUUUAAGGGAAUCCGCAUCCGAGCUCGCAUUAUAAUGUGCUAGAGACCCCUCCCCAGGAAGAAGGUAAAGGCAGCAGCUCGGGAAGCUUCUUUCGUGCGUGCUUGGCUUCCUACUGAGUUCGAGUGAGGGUCUUUCACCUGAAAGUUCUUGCUCUUCCACUGGUUACCAGCUUAUGACCUGCGGGUAACUAAGGCUCUACCCUUUCUGGGGGAAUUUCUCUCUUUUUUUGAUCGGAAUUAGGCCGCCUUUCUUAGGUCUGAUCAUCGAAAGACGAAGGCAUAGGCUACGACUGGUAAAUCUAUCUUCCAUAAGGACUUUCUCUUGUUCUUAUAGUUGCUAAUUCUACCUGCUCGAGAAAGCUUUCUCAAUCUUCAAUCUCCUAAGAUUCACCGUUCACUGGCCCACUAAAAGCCUUUCCUCUACCACCAGCGACAACUAAGGCUUCACCCGCAAUCGAGUUCUCGGUCUCACCUAGCGUAAAAGAGAAUCGAAUCCCUUGAGUUAACCGUUGUAAAGGAAUCAGAAAUUGAACCUUUGGCGAGAUUCUUCCCCACACCCGUUCGGUAGUCUACUUCGGUUACAACACUAUUUUCCCUCCGAUCCGGGGCAUAAGAUAAGAGCAAUCCAUAGGACUCCCAAUUCCAAAAAGUAGCUAUCAAUUAAAUUAAAAGAGGCAAGCGGAUUGGAUUUUUUUAUUUAGUUAUUGCACUAGUUCCCGAAACAAAGCGUUCCUGAUGU
rnacentral:lncRNA from 1 species